AGGUACGAUCAUACCAGCACUAAUGCACCAGAUCCCAUCAGAACUCCGCAGAUAAGCGUGCUUGGGCGAGAAUAGUUCUAAGAUGGGCUUGUCUUAUGACUU
rnacentral:rRNA from 1 species